AUUCAUGGAAGGGUGCGUCACUAACUGCCAUAAAACGGGUAGUGUACAUCAAGUUGUCAUCCCGCUGUCACAGUUCGCAUCCAUCAGUCGUACAAAAUGCGUUACUUCUUAAUAUUCAUCUGUUUAGUUUUGGUCUUCGCCUCUAUUGUAGAGGCAAAAGAUAUCGUCACUGUGGGUGGAAAUCCAUGUACUUGGGGCCCGUCUUUCUGGUGCCACAGUUAUGAAAACGCAGAAAAAUGUGGAGUAGAGGCCAUCAAGUACUGCGAGAGCGUCAACUGGAGUGUCGAAUAAGACGACACUUUUCCAGCAGAGAAAAACGAGUUUUAUUAUUUCAUUUGUUAUCUUUAUUUGUUAUGUCCUUAUAUGGAAGAUAGUGGGCAAUUAUUAGCUUCGUACCAAAUUUAGAGAAAGUGAAACAUGUUGCCUAUAUUGAACUGGAAACGCGCUACACGCACCUUGUUGUUAUUCCAUUAUUUGCUUUAUCUUGGUCAUUAAGUUUUACAGACUGUUGAUUUCAUUCGAACUGCUCGUUGUACUUCCUCUCUUAAAACCCUAAAAAAAAUCCCUCAUUUCUUAGCGUCCACGAGCCGAUAUCUCGCCUCUGUCUCUGUAAACAUGUUGCUUGCUGAAUCAGUAGGAAUGCCCAGCUAAUAUAUAUUCAUAGUUUUUAUUUGAA